GGCCUACGGUAUGACUCAACAGAAAGGGAUUUUGCAUGCAGGCCUCGUGUCCCAGAAUCUGCCCUCGUGAAAUGCAGAGAGCAUUACGGUAGGCACACUGCCGGAUUGUUCGGAGGAUCUGAUGACAUGAAUAUGUAAAGUUUGAGCGGAUUGGCGCCUGGCACUUGGUGGUCUCUUGGUAAACAGUUGACGCGACGAGCGGACAGCAGAGAUCCAAGAAAAGCAGGGCUCUUGCUGAGACACGAAGGCAGCUGAUCAGAUCGUUGUCUCUCUUCUUAACAAAAUCAAGUGAGAUUUCUUCAGUGAAUUCCCCCGCAUCCUCGACUUCCUGCAAAUUAGACAGAUUUCCUGCAGGGGACAUGCUUCUUGACUUCCCGUUCCAUUCCCAUCACUGCAGGGGGAGGGAUGCUCGGGGCAAAAACAUACAUGAGUCACUUGCUUCGCUCAGUCCUUUUGUACCCUUCCAAUUCCCACUGACUGAGAUCCUGAAGCCCGAAGGGGACAGCCGAAUUAGCGAGUGAGGAGGACACCCAGAGCCCUUCAUUGAAUGAGGUCAGAGCCGUAAACGCCCAGCGGAGAGUGGCCCUCCGAAGUUUAGCAUGCGUCAUUCACCACGGAUCUAAAUAGAGUGCUUCCUGCUGCCAGCAUUUUCCUGUCUUCACCUUCUUUCCUGUAAACAAGUCUUUACCUAAUUGUGUGAAUGAAUGAGCAUUUUCCACAGGGAGCUGUUUUGUGGUGGAGCUUGAAUCCAAAGUUAUGAGACGAAGAAGGUCUCUGCCUUCGAGGAGCUUAUCAUCAAACUUGGAUAAAUGUGCAAUGAGAUGGGGCGCCUGGGUGGCUCAGUGGGUUAAGCACCUGCCUUCGGCUCAGGUCAUGAUCCUGGAGUCCCAGGAUCAAGUCCCACAUCAGGCCCUCUGCUCAAUGGGGAACCAACUUCUCCCUCUGCCCCUUGCCCCUUUCAUGGUCUCUCUCUCAAAUAAAUAAAACAUCUUUAAAAAAAAAUGUGCAAUGAGAUAAGACAAGUAUCAAAUACUGCCCCCUCUCCACACAACACACCAUUCUGUUGCACCCCCCGCCCCCUGCUGGAUGGGCAGGUCUUUGGGGGGACUGGGUUAUCAGGACUUCUGUUACUGGGACAUACACAAUUACAUAGAAAGCCCUUCCUGAAUCUGGAGGAGCCAGCCCUCUAUUUUCUUCCUGGUGUUACUUCUUGGUUCAAACAGGAAGGCUUCCACUUUUAAAAAAAAAGCCCCAAACCAACAAAACAUAACCCAUGCAUGAGAGACAAAUCAUUAAUUCAAGGGAUGAAGAAGAAUGCAGACCAGAUCUGGAGUAAACACCAAAGGACCAGGUCCAUGAGAAAAGCAAAGUGAGUUCCCACAUUUCCAGAGCCAUUUCAGACAUACUGUCACAGCCAUCCUAUGAGGGUCCCAAGGUGCAUAGUAGAGUCCAGGUUUACACUCAGAGGGGUUUCUGCUUCUGAAAAUAAGGAGUUUGGAAAAAAAAGGCUAUUGUGGUAGCACCUCCAAGAUGGCCUCCAAUGUUGAUGCGCUUGGCGUUAUUCAUCCUCCCCUCGAUGAUGUGCUGGAUCUAGUGACCCCUAAAAAUUGGAAUGCAGCAG